CACGGGCCGCCCGGUGAGACCUCCUCCCGAAUCUCUGCCGCACUUCCCCGGUGGCAGAGGGUCGGUGGGGGAUCUGGUCGGACGGCGGAGGGGCC
rfam:Cellulomonas sp. Root930 contig_2, whole genome shotgun sequence.